UCUGCCGCAGUCGGCGUCGUGUACUGCACCUAUUCUGUGUGUUAGAGAAAACCUGAGGUGAUUCAACAUGUCUGACGAGGGAAAGCUCUUCAUUGGUGGUCUGAGCUACGAUACCACAGAGCAGUCCUUGGAGGAAGCUUUCUCCAAGUAUGGAACAAUUGCAAAAGUCGAUGUAAUAAGGGACCGUGAGACUGAUCGUUCCAGAGGCUUCGGCUUUGUUACAUUUGAAAAUCCAGAGGAUGCAAAGGAUGCCAUGGCUGCAAUGAAUGGAAAGUCUGUUGAUGGCCGCAUGAUUCGUGUGGAUGAAGCCGGCAAAUCUGGUAGACGGUCCGGUGGCUUCAGAGGAGGUUCUGGAGGCGGCAGGGGGUUCUUCAGGGGUGGCAGAGGUAGAGGUGGUGGAGGAUAUGGUGGAGACAGAAGCUACGGUGGUGACAGAAGUUUUGGCGGCGAUAGGAGCUAUGGCGGAGGUGAACGGUCCUACGGUGGUGGUGAUAGAGGCUAUGGUGGUGGGGAUAGAGGAUAUGGUGGUGGAGAGAGAAGCUAUGGCGGAGGUGACCGAUCCUACGGUGGUAGCGGCGGAUACUCCAACAGGAGUGGUGGAUACUCCGGCGGCGGCGGCGGUGGAUACAGGGAUAACAGGAACCAGGGUGGAUAUGACCGUUCUGGUGGAUCCUACAGAGACAACUAUGAUAGCUACGACUGACUCACUUGGAUGUGUGACAUUUGAAAACUAAAGAAGCAAGUUGACCUUUGAUGAAAUGACUCCUUUUUCAUGGUAAAGAGAGAGCUCAUGGAAUUCCCUGCUGUGCAGAUGAACCAAUCUCUCCCAAACGAAAGCAGAGAAAGUGUCAAAACACUUGCAAAAGAUGAACGAUCAAUCUUGCACCUAAAUUGACAUCUGAUUGCUAUAUUUUGCUGGAAGUAGUGUUUCUGUAGAAAGUCGUUCACUUUGAAGUGUCGUGAGAAUGACAUCAAUUCAAUAAAGUCUGUUUACAUCUA